rnacentral:rRNA from 1 species
UACAGAGGGUGCGAGCGUUAAUCGGAAUUACUGGGCGUAAAGCGCGCGUAGACGGUUUUGUAAGUCAGAUGUGAAAUCCCUGGGCUCAACCUGGGAACUGCAUUUGAGACUGCAUGGCUAGAGUAUGGAAGAGGGAAGUGGAAUUUCCGGUGUAGCGGUGAAAUGCGUAGAUAUCGGAAGGAACACCAGUGGCGAAAGCGGGUCUCUGGGCCGAUACUGACGCUGAGGAGCGAAAGCGUGGGGAGCGAACAGG